UACGUAGGGGGCAAGCGUUGUCCGGAUUUAUUGGGCGUAAAGAGCGUGUAGGCGGUCUGGUAGGUCCGUUGUGAAAACUCGAGGCUCAACCUCGAGACGCCGAUGGAAACCCUCAGACUAGAGUCCGGAAGAGGAGAGUGGAAUUCCUGGUGUAGCGGUGAAAUGCGCAGAUAUCAGGAAGAACACCCGUGGCUAAGGCGGCUCUCUAGUACGUGACUGACGCUGAGGAGCGAAAGCGUGGGGAGCGAACAGG
rnacentral:rRNA from 1 species